rnacentral:rRNA from 1 species
AGGACGAACGCUGGCGGCGUGCCUAACACAUGCAAGUUGAGCGACGAACCAGGGCUUGCCCUGGGGCAAAGCAGCGAACGGGUGAGUAACACGUGGGUAACCUGCCCCGAUGAUUGGGACAACCCGAGGAAACUCGGGCUAAUACCGAAUGUGCUCGCCGGACGUAAGUCCGGCGCGUAAAGGAAGCUUCGGCCUCCGCUUCGGGAGGGCCCGCGGCCCAUUAGCUAGUUGGUGAGGUAACGGCUCACCAAGGCUUCGAUGGGUAGCUGGUCUGAGAGGACGAUCAGCCACACUGGGACUGAGACACGGCCCAGACUCCUACGGGAGGCAGCAGUGGGGAAUCUUGCGCAAUGCGCGAAAGCGUGACGCAGCAACGCCGCGUGGGGAAGAAGGCCUUCGGGUGUAACCCUUCAGGAGGACGAAGGUCGGCGGUGAAGUAGCCGUCCGAACUGACGGUACCUCCACAAGAACGCCCCGGCUAACUACGUGCCAGCAGCCGC